GUUUCCGUAGUGUAGUAGUUAUAACGUCUGCCUAACACGCAGAAGGUCGCCAGUUCGAGCCUGGGCGUAAACA
rfam:Nematostella vectensis strain CH2 x CH6 NEMVEscaffold_586_Cont30470, whole genome shotgun sequence.